CACGUAGGGGGCGAGCGUUGUCCGGAUUUAUUGGGCGUAAAGAGCUCGUAGGCGGCUCGGUAAGUCAGGUGUGAAACCUCCAGGCUCAACCUGGAGACGCCACCUGAUACUGCCGUGGCUAGAGUCCGGUAGAGGAGCGUAGAAUUCCUGGUGUAGCGGUGAAAUGCGCAGAUAUCAGGAGGAAUACCAGCGGCGAAGGCGGCGCUCUGGGCCGGUACUGACGGCUGAGGAGCGAAAGCGUGGGGAGCAAACAGG
rnacentral:rRNA from 1 species